UUUCCCCGCUUCUUCCUUUCUUCUUUUCCUUUUUUUUUCUUCCGUUCCCGAUUCACCUUCUCUUCUCUCAGCUCUCCCCUUCUUCUUCUCAUAUUCUUCUCAACCCUCUCCCUUUCUUCUCCUUUCUUCUCCCACGGAGGGAGGAGGCGAGCUUGGGAGGGGCCAGGCCAUGACCGGCAGUGCCUCCAGCCGAGCCCGCUGUGCCCUCGAUCGUGUUUGCAGCCGAUGCUCGCAGCCUGCGCGCACGGCCGAGCCGAGGCUGGCGGCUCCCGUGACAUCCGUGGAUGCUCCCCGUGAUGCCGACGAACUCGCAGCCGCACACAAGAAAGGAAAAAUGACGUGGUUGGGAGGCUUACCUGGUUUUCGGGGGUGAACUGUGAUGACCCUCUUCGACGGCUCUCUUCCUCUCCGGUGGCAGUGGAGGUUUUUUUUUUUUUUCAGCGGCAAGCGAGGAAGAAGGUCACCCAACCGGAAGGGGACUCGGCUUGGCAGCUCUACCUCGGGUGGUUUUCAAAUGAGGAGAAGAAGCCCUAAAAAAAUUGGGGUUUCCAUCUUCCUCGAGCGAUCGCGAUGAAUCCUCCUUCAUCGUGUGCCCUCACGUGCAACACACAUGAGGCCAAAAGGCUUGGGUCUCACACAAAGAAUGGGUUUCUUUGAUCUUCCAAGGGUGACCUUUUGUAGAUUCUUCAGUUUUGGUUAUGGGAAUGCUAAUGAAAAGAUGAAAUUUUUGUUCCUUCUCUGUAGUUUCCUGGGAUCAAUACUUAGAAAAUAAGUGAAGUAUCUGUUUCUUUGGGAUUAUCUAC